GAAAUGCGAUAAGUAAUGUGAAUUGCAGAAUUCAGUGAAUCAUCGAAUCUUUGAACGCACAUUGCGCCCGCCAGCACUCUGGCGGGCAUGCCUGUUCGAGCGUCAUUUCAACCCUCAGAACCCCUUGCGGGAUCUGGCGUUGGGGAUUGGCAUCCAGCCAUUCCCGAAAUCUAGUGGCGGUCCCUCCGCGACCUCCCCUGUGCAGUAGCGAUACCUCGCAGCGGGACAGCGGUCUGACCACGCCGUAAAACCCCCAACUUCUCAAGGUUGACCUCGAAUCAGGUAGGAAUACCCGCUGAACUUAAGC
rnacentral:misc_RNA from 1 species